GCUUUCACAUCGGUUUUGAGAGUUACACUCUAUCGUAAGGAAAGAGUCCAGUUGAUAAGAUUGAGUAUUCAUUCCUUAUUAAUCAACUGCUAGAUGAUUCCUUUUUCUAUAAUCCUUCGAUGUAAAUUAUGUUUGUAUCCUUUCUCUACUCUUACAGGGUAUGCAAUCAAUUUUAUCUUAAAAAAAAAAAUCAAUUAAAAACUGUAAAUAUAAAAUAAAAUUAUUUGUGUUAUUUUU
rnacentral:misc_RNA from 1 species